UACGUAGGGUGCAAGCGUUAAUCGGAAUUACUGGGCGUAAAGCGUGCGCAGGCGGCUUUGCAAGACAGAUGUGAAAUCCCCGGGCUCAACCUGGGAACUGCAUUUGUGACUGCAAGGCUAGAGUACGGUAGAGGGGGAUGGAACUCCGCGUGUAGCAGUGAAAUGCGUAGAUAUGCGGAGGAACACCGAUGGCGAAGGCAAUCCCCUGGACCUGUACUGACGCUCAUGCACGAAAGCGUGGGGAGCAAACAGG
rnacentral:rRNA from 1 species